UGAGUAAGCCAGAUGAUCGCGUGUACAUGCCGAAAGGCCGUAUACGAGGAAAGUCCGGGCUCCAUAGGGCAGGGUGCCGGGUAACUCCCGGUCAAGGUGACUUGAAGGAAAGUGCAACAGAAAUAAACCGCCGAAUAGAAUGCAAUGCAUUUUAUUGGGUAAGGAUGGAAAGGUGAGGUAAGAGCUCACCGGUUUCCUGGCGACAGGAAAUGCUCUGCAAACCCCGUCUGGAGCAACACCGUGAAGAGGACGCAUUGGUUGCCCGCCAGUCCUCAGAGGUGGCUUGAGCUGCGCAGUAAUGCCCAGCCUAGAUAGAUGAUCAUCCAAUACAGAACCCGGCUUAUAGGCUUGCUCAAUAC
rnacentral:RNase_P_RNA from 1 species